UCUCUCUCCCACUCUCUGCACAUCUGGAGCGAUGGAUCACUUCUGAGUCGAGCUGCAGGUUCAAGUGUUUGGACUAAAAACCUGCUGCACAAAAGCUGAAUUUUAUUACUAUUAUUGCAGGACAGAGAGGUGAGUAGAGAAGAGUGUGAAUUCUUCCCCUUGGAGGUUUGUCCAGACCACACACACACUCAGAUACACACACUCAAACACACACACACACACACACACACACACACACACAUACACACACACACACUUGGGAGUGUGCUACUCUUUCUUUCCUAGAGGACAGUGUGUACUGAGUGUGUUGCGAUGAUCUGGAGGUGUGUGUUGUGUGCACUGCUGCUGUGUUGGGCUCUCGUUCUCGGAGUCGAGCCUGAACACCAGCAGGAAGAACAACACACGGUCCAGAAGAAUAAAGGAACAGAGAAAGACAGGAAGGGAAAAACGGUGGCGAUGUGUCCAGAUCAGUGCAGCUGCACGACCGAAGAAACUGUCGACUGCGCCGGGGUCAAUGUAUCUGAGUUUCCACAAGAGAUACCGGAGAACACACGGCAUCUCUCACUGCAGAAUAAUCAGAUCUCUGAGAUCAGAGCGGAGGAUCUUGUACGACUCCUUCAUCUGGAGACUCUCAACCUUCAGAACAACCGCCUCACCACGCAGGGCCUUGAAGAUGAUGGGUUUGAAGCUCUGGAGCAGCUCAGUUAUUUAUACUUGGCGAAUAACCAGCUCACAGCAGCACCCAGAUAUCUUCCACCAACACUGGUCAGCGCAGACUUCGCCGCGAACCAGCUGACCACCAUCUACCCCUACACGUUUGGCCAGAAACCGAGACUGAAGUCAGUGUACCUUCACAACAACAAGCUGUCUGACGCAGGUUUCCCUGAGGGAAUGUUCAACGGUUCAGACAACCUGGAGGUGUUAAUCCUCUCCAGCAACUACCUGCGCUACGUCCCUAAAGGCCUGCCGAAGGCACUCUUCCGUCUUCAUUUGAAGAAUAACAAACUGGAGAAGAUUCCUUCAGGUGCGUUCGAGAACCAGCCUCAUCUGAGAGAACUGUACCUGCAGAACAACCUCCUGAGCAACAAUGGCAUGGAUAACACCACCUUCAGUCAUCUGAGCAGACUGGAGUACCUGGACCUGUCCAACAACAAUCUGACUGCAGUACCUUCAGGUCUUCCCCGGACCCUGAUGCUGCUCCACCUGGAGAAAAACUACAUCACCUCUGUCAGGGUCGAUUCCCUCAGUGCUGUGAAGGAUCUUCAGUACCUUCUGCUUCACCACAAUCGGCUUCGUGCUCGCUACAUCCACCGCGACGCCUUCCGUGGUCUCAAGCGCCUCCACACGCUCCACCUACACCACAACCUGCUGGAACGAAUCCCUCUGGGCCUGCCGCGCCGCGCCCACACUCUCGUACUGAUGCGAAACUUCAUCGGUGAGAUUGGACGUGACGACCUCAGCACUCUUUACACGCUCAACGAGCUCAACCUUAGCUACAACCGCUUGACGAGUGAACGCAUUCAUCGCCAUGCCUUCAGGAAAUUGCGCGUGCUGGAAGUCUUGGAUUUGUCAGGGAACAAACUGAGCACGCUGCCUCUCGGGCUUCCGAAGAGCCUCCGCCUCCUGCGGGUGAAGAAUAAUCAGAUUGCCGAGCUGCCAGAGGGGGCACUGAUGGGUAUGAGCAAACUGAAGGAGCUCCAUCUUUCUAACAACCAGAUCAAACUAGGAUCCAUCUACCAAGGGGCGUGGCAGGAGCUCGGCUCUCUCACAACUCUUGAACUGUCAGGUAACUUGCUGUCUCAUGUCCCUGCUGAUCUUCCCGAGUCUUUGGAGUUCCUACAUCUGCAGAACAACAAGAUCAGCAGCAUCUCUGCCACAGACUUCAUCAGUACUCCAAACAUCAAGAGCAUCUUCCUGAGGUUUAACCGUCUCUCUGCUCUCUCCGUGGCUGAGGACUCCUUCUCUCACCUGUCCAAGCUGCAGGUGUUGGACAUCGGACAUGGAAACGUCACGCCUCUUCGUAACCACGGAGAUAUCACAGAGGAAGACUACACGGAAAACGAGGAGGAAGAGGUGGAACUGAAUAAAUGAUAAACUGAAAAGAACAUUCUAAUGAGAUUUAUACUGUAUAGAGUGUCGAUGAUGGAGGUCAUGUGACUCUGAGUGUUAAUAUAAGAGUGUUGAUGAUGAAGGUCAUGUGACUCUGAGUGUUAAUAUAAGAGUGUUGAUGAUGAAGGUCAUGUGACUGAGUGUUAAUAAUAAUAUGAGUGUAGAUGAUGGAGGUCAUGUGACUCUGAGUGUUAAUAAUAAUAUGAGUGUUGAUGAUGGAGGUCAUGUGACUCUGAGUGUUAAUAAGAAUAUGAGAGUGUUGAUGAUGGAGGUCAUGUGACUCUGAGUGUUAAUAAUAAUAUAAGAGUGUUGAUGAUGGAGGUCAUGUGACUGAGUGUUAAUAAGACUAUGAGAGUGUUGAUGAUGGAGGUCAUGUGACUGAGUGUUAAUAAGACUAUGAGAGUGUUGAUACGAUUCUGAGCAGCUCAGCUUUUGAUAUUUUUCUUUUGCCUUCAGGAUAAAUUUGCUCAUCCUUUGCAGCGAGUGUUAGUAAGUGCAUUAACCUUCUGCCUCGUUUAUCUCAGAAACCACUUUCAUCUCCUCUCUGAAAUGUCAUUUGUUUCAAAGCACUAUGGGAAAAUAAUAGGAAUGAUCUAAAGGAAUUAGUCGUGACAGAUUAUUAUUAUUAUUUUAUCUCUUUAACUUUUUUAUUUCUGGAGCAGACAGAUUUCUAUUGGAACUUUUUAUUGAAAACAAAAGAAAGGAGCGAGCAGGAGAGUCGUGUGGCGGCGAGGACAAAACCUUCACCUUUAUGGUCUAUAAACAAAAAAAAUCCAUUUAAUAUUCUAUAAGACUCGAUAAUGUUCUGUUUUCACCUGAAAAAUAAUGACUAAAUAACACAAAUAUUCAUGUUGUAUUUCAUGUUAAUUCUACAUCACUUCACUAAAAGGUUUCAGUCUGAAGGUCCUCAUCAUCCCACCAUCAUCCCACCAUCAUCCCACCAUCAUCCCACCAUCAUCCCACCGUCAUCCCACCAUCAUCCCACCGUCAUCCCACCAUCGUCCAGGAGAAGCUUCAACUUCCCUUCGUGUUUAUUUACGUCCUGGAAACUGUGCUAAAGAAUUCAAAUAGAAAUCAUUUUCAAAAGGAAAAAUGAUCCUUUUUUUUAUUUUCAGCAAUAACUGAGAAUCAAGACACAGUUAAGAAAAUUGUUCUGAGUCCAGUGAAGAUUCUGUGAUGUGUUUUUUUAUAUUUGUGACAAAUAUAAAGCGUGUGCUGACACGUCUGCUAGCA